CAGCCGCCACGGUAAUACGAAGGGUGCAAGCGUUACUCGGAAUUACUGGGCGUAAAGCGUGCGUAGGUGGUGGUUUAAGUCCGUUGUGAAAGCCCUGGGCUCAACCUGGGAAUUGCAGUGGAUACUGGGUCACUAGAGUGUGGUAGAGGAUAGUGGAAUUUCCGGUGUAGCAGUGAAAUGCGUAGAGAUCGGAAGGAACAUCUGUGGCGAAGGCGACUAUCUGGGCCAACACUGACACUGAGGCACGAAAGUGUGGGGAGCAAACAGGAUUAGAUACCCCCGUAGUCCCUGUCUCUUAUAC
rnacentral:rRNA from 1 species